rnacentral:lncRNA from 1 species
AAAAUUUCUAACAUGUCAACUACCUUAUCAACCUGAAGGGAGCAGCAGUGAUUGGUCUCACCACACUGCGGAAAUAAGUAAAUGUUAGGGCUACAGAAAACUGGCUGGGAAUGUAAACAUUGCUAUGAAAUAUUAGUUGCACUUUUUUUAGACUACCAUAACAAUGUUCGAUUCUGUGACAAGCUAGUAUGUGGAUUGCACUAGCAGCACUUUGUAAGUCACCAAAUCAUGGCUGUGUAAUUGCUGUUCCCUUAGACUUGCCAUGCUGGAACCAGGAAAGUUGAAGCAGACACAAAGCUCUAAUGCGACAGUAAAACUACGAAAAUGUAUAUCUUGGUAGCAGCGUUUCAUAAUAUCCUCUCCUAUUUCAUUUUUCUUUAGGAGACUGAACCAAUAUCAUGACUUGACGUUUUCACAUAACAUUCUUUAUAUGGAGAUGACAAAUCACUGAAGUGGCAGAGAAAUAUAUUCUGUAGUUUUCCAAGUAGAAAACAAAAAAUGGCUUUCCUUGGAAGUCUGCAACGCCGUGAACCGAGAAAUGCAUUUCUGCAGUUUCAUUGUUGAAUUGCGGAUUCUCUGUUUUCGGUCUUAACGUCUAUCCCUUACAGCCACUAUUAAAUUCUUAUAACAUUUUUGUUGAAAUGCAUGUGCAAUGUUCGAUUUUCCUAGUUUCUCAAGCAGGUUUGAGUUCAACAGAUUGAAAUAUUAAUUGGGAUAAAAUCAUAACUGCCAGAUUACUAUACAAGUACCAAAGUCAGUCAGUCUGUCCAAUUCCACCCAUAUACAACCGUCAUGGCAAAGAAAAGUUUUCAACAUAGUCUUUUAAUUUUUUUAACUUUUAAUUUCAUUCUGCUUUAGGACUGAUACCUCAUUGGGAGGAACAUCUGAUUCUUUUUCAUCUUUGGCAGCAGGCAUGGCAUCUGCCUCUCUGGAUGAAUCAGGAGAUCCCAGCUCAUUAUCUUUUGCGCAGAUGUUACGAGAUGGAAAAAGUUUUCCUGCUGUCACAAAAUCUACCAGUGCUUGGCCAUCCAUCAAUAAACAGAAUCAGAAUCGUCGUGUGGUGGAAGAUUUUCCAGCAAUCAGCUCCUCACCACCUUCAAAGCAGUCGACUACCAGUGAAAGUCACACUCUCAGUCAGUCACUGGCACAAAACUUUCAUGGAGCAUCAGAUGCGGAUGGAGGUACCACAGGCGGUAAAAAGAAGAAGAAGAAACAAGUUUUGUUUUCUUUGGGAAUCUAGUUAUAAGAAAUAAUUAUGUUGUUUAGCUAGGAAGACUAGGAAAAAUGUCUAUUCCCUUUUUGCGAAUUUUUUGUAUUGUUGGAUAUAGUCCAAAAUCAUUUAAAUGUGUCCCGGCCAUUGUUUAAAUUAAUUUUUUAACACCUAUGGAAAGAGAAUUUUUGAAAAAUUCAAAGUUUGCUGCUCUGCUACAAUGUAUUAGUCCUGCAUUAGUGAAUUAAAAAAUAAUAAUAAUUUAUUCUUCAAUGGGAUGCCUCAGUGAAAUUUGUAUCCUUUAGUGAAAAAAAAAAAAAGGCGAAGGCAAAUUCUGAAGGUUUUUUUCCAAUUCAUAAAUUUGUAAAAAGUUUAAUACAUUUUUGCUUUAAGUCACUCUAAAUUAAUGAAAAUUCCAAUUAAGAGUUCCAAAAAAGAAAAAGCUGUGGUAGUUGGAGCCACUACAGCUCAAAGUUCAGCAUGAUAGUAAAUUUCUUCGUAACUACCACUGAUUCAUCUCAAGAUUGAGGAAGUUUCGCUUUUGGUUAGAAAAAUCUUGUUGGUGUUUCGAAAUUUUUAUUGAAUUAAAAUGAUGAGAACUUCUCUCAUAUUGGGAUAUUUUUAGCAUUGACAAUGUGUAGGCUGUACUGCUAGCUAAUCUUGUGCAUGGCACACAAUAUUGUAAUAUGCAUCUCGAAGCUGUGAGAAAUUCAUUUCUCCUUUCACUGGCUCAAGUCAGUCAAUUUUGAAACUUUACAAGACUCUGUGAUUUUUAUGCAAUUAAACCGUGGGUACUGUUUGUUGUGAUCCAGGUUUAUUGUGGUUCCAUAAAUUGCAUAGACUAAAAAUUUAAAUGUAUUUAGGACUUUUAAGUUCAUGAAGUAUUGUUGAGUAUUCCUUCGUAAGAAUUUUGUAUAUUCUAGUCCCUCUUUCUGAUCUUAAAACUCAACAUUUUCCUGCAGCUUGGAGACCGUCCGUGAAUUUCUCUUAAGUGAACAGAACGGUAUCAGUGAUUACAUCACUGAUUUUUCUGUUGUCAUGAUUCAACCAUCAUACUUACUACAUACUAGAGAUGCAGGUUGUUUGCAAGCCAUUUGGUUUUUUCUUGUGCUCUAAAUGUGAAACAAAUCACCCGGACUUAAAAUUGUAAUCUUCGUUUUAAUAACUUUAAUUUUAAUUUCAUUGAGAAACCCUUAAUUGCACUCCUCAUACCUGUACCUUACACUCAGACAGGACAAUGUGAACAGUCUUUUCAUUGAAAAUUUGCCAAGAGUUUGUUUUAAUUUAAUGAGGGCAUCAGAAUUAAGAGACUUUGGCGUUAAUUUAUGGAACUCAAAGCUGGUAUCAGAUAUGUUAAACAACUUAUGAGCAAAUGAAAUAACUCAUAUCGGAGUUUAGAAGAUUUUUGUUUUGUCUUU